rnacentral:rRNA from 1 species
GGAUUCCUACGGGAGGCAGCAGUGGGGAAUAUUGCACAAUGGGCGCAAGCCUGAUGCAGCCAUGCCGCGUGUAUGAAGAAGGCCUUCGGGUUGUAAAGUACUUUCAGCGGGGAGGAAGGGAGUAAAGUUAAUACCUUUGCUCAUUGACGUUACCCGCAGAAGAAGCACCGGCUAACUCCGUGCCAGCAGCCGCGGUAAU